GAGGUUGCGAUGAUUAUAAAACAAUUCCUCAUUCUGGAUGUUGUUGCCACGACAUGAUAGACCCUUUUACAACCACAGAUUAUGAGCACC